GCCGUCGUGAGGCGGCCCGUGUUUUCGGGCUGAGCCGCGAGACGGUGUUGAAGAUGUGCCGGUUCUCGCUGCCGCCGGGCUAUACGCGCACGAAGCCGGUGACGAAGCCGAAGCUGGGUGCGCUGCUGCCGAUGAUCGAUGCGAUCCUGGAGGCGGACCGCACUGGUCCGGUGAAGCAGCGGCAUACGGCGAAGCAGAUUUUUGAACGGCUGCGCGACGAGCAUGGGUUCGGCGGCGGCUACACGGUGGUGAAGGACUAUGUCCGGAUCGCGCGGGCACGGGGCCGCGAGACGUUCGUGCCGCUGUCGCAUCCGCCGGGCCAUGCGCAGGUGGAUUUUGGCGAGGCGAUCGGCGUGAUCGGCGGAGUUCGCUGCAAGAUCCACUU
rnacentral:misc_RNA from 1 species